rnacentral:rRNA from 1 species
CGCGUAGGCGGUCUGAUAAGUCAGUUGUAAAAGCCCGGGGCUCAACCCCGGAAGUGCAAUUGAAACUGUCAGGCUUGAGUAUGGUAGAGGGAAGUGGAAUUCCUGGUGUAGCGGUGAAAUGCGUAGAUAUCAGGAGGAACACCGGUGGCGAAGGCGGCUUCCUGGACCAAUACUGACGCUGAGGCGCGAAGGUGUGGGUAGCAAACAGGAUUAGAUACCCUGGUAGUC